rnacentral:lncRNA from 1 species
GCCCCCAUUUAUAGUCACAUAGGAGUCAACAGGUCAACACUCUUAUAGUCGAAGAGGUCAACACUCUAUAGUCAACAGGUCAACACUCUCAUAGUCAACAGGUCAACACUCUUAUAGUCAACAGGCCAACCCUCUUAUAGUCCAAACAGGUCACCACUGUACAUAUUCAACAGGUCAACACUCUUAUGUCUACAGGUGAUC